CCACAGGCCUCCUUCCUCAGCAGAAGCUUCAGGCUCCCUCCCAGUCCCACUGAGUCAGAAUCUCUGGGAGUGGAGCCUAGGAAUCUGCAUUUUAAC
rnacentral:miRNA from 1 species